rnacentral:lncRNA from 1 species
AGACGGAGUCUUGCUAUGUUGCCCAGGCUGGUCUUGAACUCCUCACCUCAAGCGAUCCUCUCGUCUUGGCCUCCCAAGUGUCAGGAUUACAGGUGAGACGUGGUCUUGUAACACAGUGGUUAAGAAUGUGACUUUGGAGCCAGCCUGCUAGGGGCUGAAUUCUGACUCAGCCAUUUACUAACUGUGUGACCUUAGGUCACAGAAUUUUCCACACUCCUUGACGGAGGUGCUUAACCCUUAUCCAUCAGCAUUCUCAGACAGCACCUCCGGUUAGGGACAGUAUCUGACCGUCCGACAUCCCUGCAGCCCCCAUGUGUCACACAGACUCAGCCUCAGGUAGAUGGUUUCCGUAGAUGGUGGCUUUCUUUGGACCCUUGACAUCAACCAGUUACUAUUUGGUAAGAACUUAAGUCAUUCCAGUGCCUCUCUCAGAAGCAUUUGCAUUUAGAAUUUCAGGUGUCAU